GGCAGCGCGCUACCUGCAGUCGACGGUAACGGAAGCAGCUUGCUGCUUCGCUGACGAGUGGCGGACGGGUGAGUAAUGUCUGGGAAACUGCCUGAUGGAGGGGGAUAACUACUGGAAACGGUAGCUAAUACCGCAUAACGUCGCAAGACCAAAGAGGGGGACCUUCGGGCCUCUUGCCAUCGGAUGUGCCCAGAUGGGAUUAGCUAGUAGGUGGGGUAACGGCUCACCUAGGCGACGAUCCCUAGCUGGUCUGAGAGGAUGACCAGCCACACUGGAACUGAGACACGGUCCAGACUCCUACGGGAGGCAGCAGUGGGGAAUAUUGCACAAUGGGCGCAAGCCUGAUGCAGCCAUGCCGCGUGUAUGAAGAAGGCCUUCGGGUUGUAAAGUACUUUCAGCGGGGAGGAAGGCGAUAAGGUUAAUAACCUUGUCGAUUGACGUUACCCGCAGAAGAAGCACCGGCUAACUCCGUGCCAGCAGCCGCGGUAAUACGGAGGGUGCAAGCGUUAAUCGGAAUUACUGGGCGUAAAGCGCACGCAGGCGGUCUGUCAAGUCGGAUGUGAAAUCCCCGGGCUCAACCUGGGAACUGCAUUCGAAACUGGCAGGCUAGAGUCUUGUAGAGGGGGGUAGAAUUCCAGGUGUAGCGGUGAAAUGCGUAGAGAUCUGGAGGAAUACCGGUGGCGAAGGCGGCCCCCUGGACAAAGACUGACGCUCAGGUGCGAAAGCGUGNGGAGCAAACAGGAUUAGAUACCCUGGUAGUCCACGCCGUAAACGAUGUCGACUUGGAGGUUGUGCCCUUGAGGCGUGGCUUCCGGAGCUAACGCGUUAAGUCGACCGCCUGGGGAGUACGGCCGCAAGGUUAAAACUCAAAUGAAUUGACGGGGGGCCCGCAACAGCGGGUGAACAUGUGGUUUAAAUCAAUGCAACGCGAAAAAAC
rnacentral:rRNA from 1 species